CAGCAGCCGCGGUAAUACGAAGGGUGCAAGCGUUACUCGGAAUUACUGGGCGUAAAGCGUGCGUAGGUGGUGGUUUAAGUCCGUUGUGAAAGCCCUGGGCUCAACCUGGGAAUUGCAGUGGAUACUGGGUCACUAGAGUGUGGUAGAGGAUAGUGGAAUUUCCGGUGUAGCAGUGAAAUGCGUAGAGAUCGGAAGGAACAUCUGUGGCGAAGGCGACUAUCUGGGCCAACACUGACACUGAGGCACGAAAGCGUGGGGAGCAAACCGGAUUAGAGACCCCUGUAGUCCCUGUCUCUUAUAC
rnacentral:rRNA from 1 species